rnacentral:misc_RNA from 1 species
GAUGAAGAACGUAGCGAAAUGCGAUACGUAAUGUGAAUUGCAGAAUUCAGUGAAUCAUCGAAUCUUUGAACGCAUAUUGCGCUCUCUGGUAUUCCGGAGAGCAUGCUUGUUUGAGUAUCAGUAAACACCUCAACUCCCUUUCCUUUUUUGAAAUUGGAGCUGGACUUGAGUGAUCCCAACGCUUUCUUCCAAGAAAGUGGCGGGUUGCUUGAAAUGCAGGUGCAGCUGAACUUUUCUCUGAGCUAUAAGCAUAUCUAUUUAGUCUGCCUAAAAAACAGAUUAUUACCUUUGCUGCAGCUAACAUAAAGGAGACUAGUUCUUGUGCUGACUGAUGCAGGAUUCACAGAGACAGCUUCGGCUGACUUUGUAAACUCGAUCUCAAAUCAAGUAAGACUACCCGCUGAACUUAAGCAUAUCAAUAAGCGGAGGA